rnacentral:misc_RNA from 1 species
ACAGAAUUAUUAUUCCUGGAUUUCAGUUGUUUCUUGUUCAUGAUUCCUGUUGUGUCUUGUGUAGUUUUAUGUCACUCCUCACUCCUACAUUUUAAGUUGUGUUUGGUUGUGUAUCUGAAUUUAUAGUUUAUAAUCACCCAUGUUUUAAAGAAAACUUACUGUUUUUAUUUUUACAAAAUGAAGAAUACUAUUUGUUGGCAGCUGUAUUGUGUUUUUUUCUUAAUAUUUGCAGCUACAAAUGGGCAGCAACCCAGGUUGGAGAUCCAACCCAGUGGAUCGGUAGUUACUAAAGAGAUUGGAGGUAGCUUAGUUUUGACUUGUCGACCUAAGGUUCCGGAUCCUUCACUGGUAACUUCUUUAGAAUGGAAAGAUAAAUAUGACAGGAAAAUUGAUUCAUUUAACCGAGCAAGUCCGAUAUACGUUCAGAAUUUACCUGGCGAACCUGGAAUUAUUUUAAUAUUUUCCAGUUUGACUGAGAAUCAAGCGGGAAAAUAUACUUGUUCCUGUUUUUAUGCUAAUACCGAACCGCUCAGUGCAUCUGUUGAAGUGACAACAUACGAGGAUAUCAGUUUUGUCGACGCUCCCGAAAACCAGUAUUCGAUCGCAGGUCAGGAUUUCAAAGUAAAAUGUAAAACCAAGGGAAACCCGACACCAACAAUUGACUGGAACAAGAACAAUCAAGCAAUUCAAACCAAUGAAAAAUUCGUGGUCGAUACUGACGAACUACUUAUUAAAAAUGUGACGGAAGCAGAUGACGGCGUCUACACUUGCACUGCUAUCGAAACCUUCACAGGACACAUCAAAACCAGAAAUAUUAAGGUUGAAGUUCAAGUUCCUCCAAAAAUUGAACCAAUAGAACCCGUAACAAUUAUAGAAGGUGACACUGCGUCGAUCAAAUGCUUGGCUACUGGCAAGCCUCCACCAACAUACCAAUGGAUUAAACUUAAAACCCGUGAAGAUUUAUCCACUACCGAUCGAUUUGAAGUAAAGAAAAACACAGGGGAGCUUAUUGUAAACAGGAUAGAAUUCGUAAAUGACGACGGCUUAUACAAAUGUAUUGCUGAAAAUAGUGUGGCUCGAGUGGAAACAACAGUAAGAAUCGAUGUGCUCGUACGACCAAGGAUAUACGAAUUGUUAAACGUUACGGCACCCGUAAGCAGGCAGACAGAAAUUAUCUGCAAGGCUUCUGGUAGACCAAUUCCAAAAAUUACUUUUAGAAAACUAAAUCGAAAAGAUUCAUUCAAACUUGGUAGGCAGCCUGAUGAUGAUAGAGUAAUACUGGAACAGCUACGUAUAUCAGAUAAUGGCGAAUCUUUGGGAAAACUGAUCAUUUCAAACUUAAGUAGACCUGAUGAUGGUCUCUAUGAAUGUAUUGCAGAGAAUACAGUGGGAAAAGCAUAUAAAAACGGUCAUAUAACUGUAGAAUUUCCUCCUACCUUCGCGAGAACCAAGGACUUGCCACCUGUGUGGAGUUGGGAUAACAGGCCUGGUAAUUUAACAUGUCUUCCUGAAGCCAUACCCAACGCUACAAUCAUGUGGAAAUACGGAGACAUCGAAAUUCACGACAAUAAUAAUUUCAAAAAAAUAGGAAAUGGUCCUGUCUCGUAUCUUAUAGUAACACCAUAUAAUGACAGGAGGUUUUUUACCCAAUACGAAUGUAUAGCUCAAAAUAAAUUAGGCUUGGCGAGCAUAAAGUUGCAAUUGAAACAAGCUUUCGUACCAGAACCUAUCUCGCAAGCCAAACCAGAAUUCAUUACAGCUACUAGUAUAAAAUGGAGUCUAAUUCCCGCUAACAAUUUUGACGGAUUACCUCUGAGAUCCUUUACAGUAAAAUAUAAACCGGAACGACAAUUGUCGUGGGAUUAUGCCCGUAAUUAUACAUGGAGUUAUGGAGCUCCGUAUAUCCUUGAAAAUCUCGUACCAGAAGAAACCUAUCAUUUUCAAUUCGCUGCUAAAAACGAUGUUGGCAUGGGUGCGUUUGCAAAUGCCCCGACUAUAACCAUGCCUAGAAGAUCAGCACCAUCAGAACCAAAAAUGAUACUCGAAAACAAUAGAAUAGAUCCAGAUGGAAACAAUAGGGAUAUCGUAGUACCUAGUCCUUAUGCUGAUCAUUUUGAGAUACGAUGGAGUGUUCCGAACGACAACGGUGAUCGCAUUAUGAAUUAUUUUAUAAGAUAUUGUGUGACCGAAAAAGUAAAUGGAAACUGGCAGGACCGCGACUGCGUGGAACAAAUCGAAAGAUCCACCCAAUACACUAGUUACGAACUGCACAAUUUACAUUCCGAUACGAUUUAUAAAGUUGAGGUGCGCGCGCAUAAUUCUAUUGGUGAGAGUUUACCCGCACAAGUUAAAUUCAGAACGGCCAGAGGAUUUGACCCCAUUGCACCGGUUCGUCAUCCCGCCAUGAGUAGUGCCGCUAUUAUUGGUAUAGCGGUUGCCGUUAUUAUCGUGGUUCUUAUCGUUAUGGAUAUCACCUGUUUCUUCAUAAACAAAGUGGGCAUAAUAGCUUUAUGCUUUAAUUCUAGAUCGAAACAAAGUGACGAGGACGAUCCUAAGUUGGGAAGUUUAUACAGUUGGCGUUUUCCCGUGCCUUAUUGCAGUUACAAGGCAGCGCCGGCUCACCCUAGCAGCUUGAACCUACCGCAACCGAUUAAGUUGACAACGAGUCCCAUCGAUGAACGAGAACCUUUACACGAAGUCAACCCUACGACGGUAGAAUUCGAUGGAAAAUCUGUUCAAACCAAGUCUGGAGAAUUUAUUGGAAAGCAUUCAGCAGUCUGAAAAAUAUACUUAAUUUUCGCCGAAGGUCAGACCAAGUACUUCUGCGACCACACAGCUACUUUAUCGCAUUUGGUAACAUUUUUACCGGCAGAGAAUAGUAAGAAAAUUCUGUAAUCGGAAGAUUUGUUUGAGAUAAGAAGGAGGUGAAAAAUUGACGCAUAUAUGGAAUGGAUACAUAAUGUAAUAGAUAUUUUGUUUACGAGUGUCAUUCGCCGCUACACAGGUAACAGGUCUAUAAAAUGAGAUGGCUUCCAAAAGUUACCACUAGUCAGUAAUAUUAAUCCUGAAAAUAGCGUGAUACUGAUCGAAACCGCUAGACUUAGAAUGACGGAAGUGUUAUUUGAAAGAAAUUCAAAACCCUUGUGGGUAAAAUUUGCGGUUUUUGCCUGUUGUAAGUAGUUUUUGCCGGAUGAUUAGUUUUAUUAGUUUAAAUGUACAGGUAUUGCAUAUAAUAAGACUGAACCUAGAUAUACACAAUGCACAAGGUAAACGUGUGUCUUUUUUAUUUAUAUGUUUCGUUAUUGUGACUGUUUAUAUUUUCUAUAAUAUUUUAUAUAAACAAUUGUACUUAUACGUUUGGUAAUUAUAUUUUAAAUAUUUGAGUGUGCAAUACUUAUAAAUUCAUUGUAACACGGUUGUAAAAAUGUACUUUGUAUUUAUAUUUGUGUAUAUUAUACAUAACAGUAUUUCGACAUAAGGCAGCUGUAAUGUUUAUAUUGUGUGGCAACAUUACUUAUUAGCUGUACUUUUUUACCCAUGGCUUUUAUUUACCAAAUAUACAAUAUAUUGUAUUUUAAUAAAAAUUUAUCUGAAUAAU